GACGAACCGUACGAACGUUAUUCGGAAUUACUGGGCUUAAAGGGUGCGUAGGCGGCGCAGUAAGUUGGGUGUGAAAUCCCUCGGCUUAACCGAGGAAUUGCGCCCAAAACUACUGUGCUCGAGGGAGGUAGAGGUGAGCGGAACUUAGGGUGGAGCGGUGAAAUGCGUUGAUAUCCUAAGGAACACCGGUGGCGAAAGCGGCUCACUGGACCUCUUCUGACGCUGAGGCACGAAAGCUAGGGGAGCAAACGGG
rnacentral:rRNA from 1 species